CCAGUUAGCUAGCAAGGGAUUAAGGGAAUUUAGUUAAUGAUGACACAUUUAUUUAUCAAAGAAAACGACUGUUGGCACAUCUGCUGUUUGGCUCAGAACUACCCUCCUUCUUUGGUUACAAGCAGAGACAACAGCGUGGAUUUUUUAUCGGAUCAGCCAGAGGUUUCCAGCAGGGUUGGCCCCAUAGCUUAGGUUUGCUUUGCUAACGUCAAGCAUCCAGCUACCAUUAUCAGGCAUCCGUAGUGAGUGAUAAGACAUUGGCAGUAACCGUACCAUCAAAUCAACACCAACUGCUUUGCAUCACGGUGGAUUUGUGGUCAUUGGGUAACGUGCAAAAAUGGAAGAAGAUUUAAUGCAGCAGGAGGAGUUCAACGACAGCGGCGAUUCAUCAUCGUCGCCCCUCAACUCCCCGCUCCGCUCAACUCGACUGCCCCUCCAGAGAAGUAAUGUCUGCUCUCGGGCUUACUUUGUUGUGGUUAUGGUCUUCUUCCAUGUCUACAUCCUGAAUGUUAUCGCCCUGCUGCUUUACGUGCACUAUAAUAAUGGCCCCGGGGAUCUAGUCAGUGGUGACCGAGCCUCCUCUGUAUCUGUCAGCGAGGGAGAAAGCCCUUUGACCCAUUCUGCCCCACCUUCAGGAGAGACCCAAGAGGAGGACUACAGUCAAAGUUUCAGUCUCCCUCGCAUUGAGGGUAUUAGGGUGGGACAUAUUCAGCACCUGUCUCUUGUGUCAGACAGGACACACGAAAUGAAGACGCUCAGCCUGAAACCUCUGCUUUUUGAGAUCCCUGGCUUCCUGUCAGAGGAGGAGUGCCGUGUGGUGGUGCAGCUGGCUCAGCUGAAGGGUCUGAUGGGGAGCCAGACGACAGGACCCAGCCAGGGACAAGAGGAGUCAAACCAGCCACUGCUUUCUCUCAGCACAGAGGAGGUCUUCAGUCUGUUGGACCUAAACCAGGACGGUCUGCUGCAGAAGCAUGAGAUUGUGAGUCACUCGCGCUCUCGAGAUGGGACUUGGUUGAGCCCAGACAACUUACGGCAGAUACUCACUGGCCUGGAAGCCUGCCCAACAGGGAUGCUGAACUUGGAGGAGUUUAGGCGUGUUUAUGAUGUGUCUCAGCGCUCAGGACAAGAGCGAAGUGGGAAGCUCCAGACUCAGUUCAAACAGAGAAAUAAACAUACGUGGCUUUAUCAAGGCUUGGGAUCCCACCACGUGCUGCACACACUCAGGAACAGAGUUACCAGUCUGACACGUCUGCCUUCUACAUUGGUUGAGUUGAGUGAGCCACUGCAGGUGAUACGCUAUGAGCACGGAGACUUCACUGAUGCCCACCAUGACAGCAGCCCUCCCCAUUCAGAGAUGACCUGCACACACACACGACUGGCGGGGAACACAUCUUCUCUUACAGAGGUCUCAUGCAGGUAUCUUACUGUGUUAUUCUACCUCAGCUCUGCAGAGGAAGGUGGUGAGACAACCUUUCCUGUGGCAGACAAUCGAACCUACAAUGAGCAGGCUCUGGUUCAGGAUGGAGUUGAUUUGACAGACACCCAGGAGACAUGUGGUCGAGGAAAUCUGAGAUUGAAACCUAAUGCUGGGACAGCUCUACUCUGGUACAAUCAUCUUUCUGAUGGUAGAGGUUGGAUGGGUGAGCUUGAUGAGUAUUCCCUGCAUGGAGAUUGCCCAGUCAAGCACGGGGUGAAGUGGGUGGCCAACAGCUGGGUAAAUGUAGACCCAGACUACCAGCAGCAGGCCCGCUACCAGAGACUAGUUGCCCAAAAACAUCAAGCUAAGUCGGGCAUGGAGGAGUAUUACCAACCUCUCUCACACAGUGACCUCCACCAGGAUCUAUAGCCAGACCCUUUUAUUGAUGAGAUAAAACGACCAUCAUUUUUAAACUGAGUCAGCCAGUGAGGCCGGGCCGACCUUUUUUUCACAAUGUCAGAGCUGAAGUCGAAAUGAAAAAUUUGCACAAAAUAGGGUCCUAGAUAUCCUCUUCAGUAAAUCUGUCUUGCAUUAUGUCUCUCAUGUCCCCAUCUGACCUGUUCGCAUUUACUCAGUACAUACAUCAAUCUCAUUAGGAAGGUUAUAGAGUUAAAUAGUCAUAUAAAGUUGUGGUGGGUAGAUGCACUGGUUUCUUCUCAAUUUGUAAUCAUAAAUAACAAAUUAAAUAGAGUGAAUGCCAUUUUCUUUGAACUCCCGCCUUAAACAAGAUAUCACUUAAUCAGGAUAACAAGAGAUACAUGAAUUCCAUGAUAUGAGUUGGAUGUAGUCACGUCUAAAGCGAUAAGCCUGCCUAUCUGCCUUCCGUGUAGUUUUACAAGGCAUCUGCCCCUUUUACAGGUCAGUGUUAUUUAUUAUAAUAGAAUUUAAGCCUUGUGUUAUGAGCCAUAUCACAAUACUCCUCCGUGAAUGUGUUCCAAAGGGGCAUUUUUAUAAGAUCAUGUAUGUCGGUUCUGUUCUUAAGUUUGUUUCUAGAGUUAAUGAGCUUUUAUGAAAUGUUAUAUUUAAUAAGGGUUUAAGACGCCUACUGCAAAUGCAGUAUUGUGUCAUUUCAAACUUGGGUCUUUGAUAUUGCAAUGUUUUCCCUUUUUUCCAACCCAAAAAUAUUUAAUUGUCAGAGUAUUUAUUUGAGUGUGAUUUAUUGUCACCUCUUGGUGAUUUAAGUUAAUGGAAUGCAUAUUUAUUACAG